GUUUAUUAUUUAGCAGAGAAAUGUGGAGUUUUCCCUACUCCACUGGUUAAUUUUUCUCUUGUUUUAUUUUAUUUUUUUGUUUUUCUCUUUGAAUUCCCUCUUUUAACCACCAUUGAGCUAAUCUAACUCUUUUCCUCAUCUCCCUCAUAAAGCAGGCAUCUUCAACAAAGCCAAACCCCCAGCAGUCAUUACCUAAAUGUCAUCCCAGACCUGGUAUGGUACAAGGCUGGAUUCUGAAUUCACCUGUCAUCAUGGUUUGAAGCACAAUUUCUCUCUCAGAAGGCACUGCAUGAUGAAUGUGGAGUGUGGAUAUGGGACCAGAUCCUAUUCCAUGAAGUGAAUGAGAUGGGAUGGUGAAAGAAGGUGAUGCAUCAGUGACGUAACCCCAGCCUUGCCUCUAGCUCCUCUUGAGAGAAAUAAGAGCAACAUGCCUUUACAGGUAGCACUUGAGAAAAAACACAAAACAGAGAGUGGGUAGCACUUCUGAAGCUUGUAUCGUUGAUUCACUGUUUUCCAAGGUGACUUGC
rnacentral:lncRNA from 1 species